rnacentral:misc_RNA from 1 species
UUUUUUGCAAAGUCUGUCCUUUGUAAUGGUUAUAAGUUGACUCAUUCAAAUUGAAUCAAUUUUGUUUUAUUUGUCAAAAGAAGUGGGCCAUACAAAAAAAAUUGUCACAGAACACAAAGCUACACUGUAUGCGGUGCUGCAGACUCCACCAUUCUCCAAGUUCAAGCAUUUAAGAAUGGAGGAAUUGGGAGAAAGAAAACCGUUAGUGCUGCCAGAGGAUGACAAUGAUGCUUCUACCAGCCUCACUAAGCCUAGACGUCUAAUUAUAAUAGAGCCUGUCGUGUUACUGUACUUCAUGGCGUAUGUGCCUAUGAUACCACUCACGGAGCAGUAUCUCUAUUACAAAGUUGGCCAGUUACAUAACUAUACAAUGGGAGAGUACAACGCAGGAAAUGCUAGCGAAUGUGGGGGUCUCGUGAAUAAGAGUGACCCGGCUUAUAUACUACUACAAACUGUGCAAGCAGAGUCAUCUAUGUUUCUAUUGUAUUUUACUCUGGUUCAAACCGUGCCUGCUCUGUUCACAACUAUCUUCUUCGGAGCCCUUAGUGAUAAUUUGGGACGUAAAAUAGCAAUGCUUGUUCCUAUUUGUGGAAACGUACUCCGAAGUAUCACAUUUUUGGUAAUUAUUCAUUUUGAAUUGCACCCAUAUUGGACGUUUCUGGCUGCAGUAUUUGAAGGCCUCAGUGGCAGUAUAGGAGCUGCCUUGAUGGCCUGCUUUUCAUAUCUUAUUGAUAUAACGACACAUAAACAACGUUCCUUCAGGAUUACCGUCCUUGACUCUAUGAUCGGCAUAUCUGGAGCUAUGGCCAGUCUUGGUGUUGGCUACUGGAUUAAAGCUCAAGGAUUCUUCUAUCCAUAUAUCCUAUGUACUAGCCUACAAACUCUCAAUCUAUUGUACGUCAGCUGUUUUGUACCAGAGACUGUAACAAGAAAUCCUGAUAUACCCAUUGUAUCCUGCUCCCAUUUUACUAACGUCGCUAAAGUCUACAGGACCGGUGGUGAAAAAUAUCGUCAAGUACGACUCAUCUUGCUUCUCAUAGUGUUGUUCAUUUGUGGUAUGCCCCUUAUUUCCUCCAGCGUGGUCACCUUGUACCUCCUUAACACCCCCUUGUGUCUGGGCCCAGUCAUGUUGGGGAUUUACAGCUCCAUAUGGUUGAUCGUCAGAUACGUUGGCUCCGUCAUUGCUGUCAAGUUGUUCUCUAGAUGGCUUCAAGACACUGGACUUGUCAUUCUGGGUUGCUUCAGCUUCAUUGGUUAUCUCCUCAUCACCGCAUUCGCCACCAAUAAUAUUGUAUUGUUCAUCGGUCCAGCAGUUGGUGUGUUUGCAUCUCUGAUUAUUCCCAUGGUUCGCUCUAUCAUGUCCAAACUCAUACUUCCAAAGAUGCAAGGGAGCCUGUUUGCAAGUAUAGCUUGUAUGGAGACACUCAGUGUUCUGGUUGGCUCAAGUAUCUUCAACCCCAUAUAUCAGCACACAUUGAACUUCAUGCGAGGCUUCGUAUUCAUCAUUGAGACCAGUAUGGUUUUCAUAGGACUUCUACUCACCGUGCUAUACAUUUACUUAACAAGAAAGGUUGUGAAAGCAAAAACAAGCAAUCAAGACAGGUAAAAUACAGUGAGGAUUUGGACUACCAUUGUACCAUUGUGACAAUUUCAGAAUAUUCAAUAUGGACAUGAAGUGGCUGCUUUAAAGUAAGAAGUGUUGUUUAGCUGAUAAAGGACCACAUCAUUGUGAAUGUAUUUUGGAACUUUAAUUACUGAAAAGUUCGAUGAGAAAAAUUGGCAAGCAGCAUGGGGAACCGAGGCAAAUAGUGCUUUUCUUAGUCCAUCAUACAUUACUGAUUUUGUGAUGUGUGGGGUAAAGUACAACACAAGGGUGAUGAAAUUCGAGGAAACUGAUGUUUUCAUCUUUUCAGAAAGAUCCGGUCUAGUUUCUAGAUAUUUUUAAAUGUAAAUGUCUGUCCUAGAGUGAACUUGACAGUGAAUUUCAUAGUUAAACCUACACAAAGUCCCAAUGUAGUAUACGGUUUAAUGCACUGUAACGAUAAGGUUGAACACAAGGAUUUAUGAAUUUGCGUAAUACUGUAUCUCAGGUAAAUGUACCCGCGUGUUCUACUUCAUUGAGAGUUUGUGUAGGUUUAGCUAUGAAUUCACUGUCAAAUCUACCCUUUGCAUUCGUUCAAUUGCGUAGUUUUUAACUAGACUCAGGGUAUGUCAAGUCCACUGUCUAGGAUUACAGAUAAAAAUAUCUAGAAACUAGACCAGAUCUUUCUAAAAUAUUGAAAACA